GGAGGGAGGGGGAUUGCAAUCUGUUGUGUAUAUGAUGCUUGGAAACAUUUAGAUAUAUAGACAGGUAUAGGUAUAGGUAUAAAUGAUGUAGAUAUAGACUGAUAUAGACAGGUAAAUAGGUUAGAGAGAGACAGGCAGACAGAAAGUUUCAGGCAAAGUAUAAACCGACAUGGAAUACAAUCAUUGUUAUACUUAGCAGAGAUGUUUUGUUCAGACCACACGAUAUCUCUGUGAGAUGGCUCUAUUCUAAAGGCAAGGAUUGGCAAAGUGAAUUCAACAUUGUUAGUAGUUUGGCAUGUUGUUACGUCUCUUUUAAAAUAGCCCUCAGACUCCUAUUUAUCCUAGUAAUGAUCAAGUCCAGACUUUUCCUUCAUUUUACAUACGCUUCCUUCUACAAUUAGAGGGACAACUGUGGCCCAAAUUACUAAAACAGGAAUAAUGAUAAAUAACCAGGAAUAAAUAUUGGGAUUCAUUAUCAACGGAAAUACAUGACAAAAAUGCUCACCCACAAAGUCAGAAUAACCAAAACAUGGUUUGUGCCAGACCAAAGGAACCCUUUUUUUGCUAUUGUGGGUAUAUGCUAUUUAUGAUGGGUAUAUACCGUAUGCAUCCCAGCAACUGGGGCAGCCUUGCACUGGACAAAGGACAGAGGUGCCCCUCUCUGACAGGAGGACUUCCAGCAUCAGCUUCCAUUUGCUGAAGUACUUGCAUAAGAGCAGAUUUUAAAAUAUUUAAGAAUCAAACCUAUGCCCGCACUCAAAUAAUACAGGUGUGACUUUACUUAGACUUCUAGCAUGCUAUCUUGAGAGCUUCUAUUUAUUUAAAUGGCAAAAUCGAGAUCAUGUGUGUUUGCAGGAUGGUGCCCACGUGCAGUACGUAGUAUUAUUUUAUGUUUAACAUCUCUCAUGCCCAUUCAGCUCAAAUGGCAUUGCAUAUAGCACCCUAUAUGCAAUUAGUGCGGGUUUCAUUAAUGAACAUAUGUGCAUUAGAAACUAAUUAUGGAAAACAGUAUUAACCUUAUUGUAAUAAUUAGCAAUAAUGCACAUUUAAACACUUCUAGAACAGAUACACACAAAAAACUGUAGGGAUGAGAAAAUUCCAAUUUUCCUCACAAACUCUUAACUGAGGAAAUAUAUGGGUUAGAAACAAAGAAUAAACCAUAACUGAAGCCAUUCAGUGCUUUUUUCAACAUCAUUUCCUAGUGUUAUUGAAAUAUUUUUAUGCAGAUAGUUGCCAAAUAACUGGAUUAUUCUAUUGUAGCCUCAAAUUAGCUGAGUUCUGCAGAUGACAUGUAAAGAAUGAUAGAAUUUGGUACCAUUUAAAACACUCUUUGGGACACUCAACCUGUACUGAUCAUUUCUCCAGAUGACAGUGGGGUUUUGGGAAGGGCACACCAUACUCUGUUUUGAAGAUGCAUUUCUAAGUAAUUUAUGCACAGUUAUUUUGUUUAUGCUUGAAAAAUUGCAUCUCUUUUCCUUUAAAAAUCUAAUAGAGAAUUACAGAAUUUGUAAAAACCUGUUCAGUUCUAAUUCAUCUGACCUACCUAUGUAUGUCAUAGCCCCUUACAGAAAUGGCUCCAUCAUUGGAAAGGAUAUCCUUGAAGGAUAUAUGCUGAACGUCAGAACUGAAACCCAGCGUUUGAGCUGGAGUAAAGCUGUUCUACUGGACUUGGUGUCCCCACAAAUGUGAAGAAAUUAAGACUGACCUACUAUCAAUGGUGGAGAAUUGAAAGGAGCCAAACUGUCAUAUUAGGGCUGUAUAAUGCACGUCUGAUCAACAUCAACCUAUGCGUGGGCUGUGUCUUUCAUAGAAUACAACAAGUAAUACACCAUAAUGAAUCAUAAUGCAUCCGCAAAAAGUCAAAUUCAAAUCCAUUAAGGAAUUGCUCAGUUGAAUGUGGAGCUUCCCUAAAGCAUGCUAAAUUUCAUUCUCCUGAAGAAACAAGAAAAGGAGAAGAGUCAUAACGUUGUUCUGGUGAACCUGUUGAUAUGCAUGGCGGUUUUCUACACUGUGUACUAUGUGGUCCUUUCCAUUUGCUUUGCCAUAUUCAAGGUCAAAAUGUUGGAUGGUUUGGCACCUUUUGAUUUUAAGACAAAUCCAUCAUGGCUUAACCCACAUUAUUUAGUUCUUGUAGUCUCAUUGGAAAUAACUUUCUUCAUUUGUGGUCUGCUGUUUGCCCUUGUGGUGGAAGAAUGGGUUUGGGAUUAUGCUGUAACAGUUACUGUUAUUCAUAUAAUCAUAACUUCCAUCGUUAUGUCUGAAUUUCCUCUGAUGAUACACUGGUGGCUGGCAUUAGGUAUAACAAUCUUUAAAUUGUUGUUGUUAGAAUCUAGAAAAAUAGCAUUUACAGUAUGAGAUUUUUUUCUAUUUUGGUUUCAGUAAUUUGGGAAUUGAGAAUAUUUAAGGAAGAUACAUAUGUUUUUCAUUUAUGUUUCUUGUAAGAACACAGAAAAGUAACACUGGGCUAACAUCUAUUUUAAGACCAAAAUGUACUCAGCUUAUGAUAAUCUUCAUAACAAAUUGCAGAUAUGUUCAUGUUGCUGAAAUGAGUCAUGCUAACUCCAAACUGAUCAAAUUAUCUCAUCUAAUUCAGGUGUCAAAGAGACAGAUUUCCAAGCUAGCCUUCCUUGGUACUCUUUACAGUCAAUGGAAAGAAAAAGAGUUCAAAAAUAAUUUAUAUGAAUGCUACGAUAGAGGAACGACAUGUAUUAAGCCCAAGAAAGGAAGGUUUGGAUUGGAUGUCAGGGGGAAGUUCUUUACAGAGAGAGUGGUGAGGUGCUGGAACGGGCUGCCCAGAACGACUGUGGGUGCUCCAUGGCUGGAGGUGUUCAAGGCCAGUUUGCAUGGGGCCCUGGGCAGCCUGGUCUAGUACCAGCUCUGGAGGUUGCUGGCCCAGCCUGUGGCAGGGGGGCAGGAGCUUGAUGAUCCUUGGGGUCCCUUCCAACCCAAGCCGUUCUGUGAUUCUAUGAUUCUAUGUAUCCCUCUCAGCAGGAGGAAUACGCCAUAGUGUUUAGUUAAAGCUAAGUACAGACUUAAACGCAAGGCAAACAUCCAUUUACAAUGAGACGGUUUCUACUUUUGUCGCUUCCCAGAAAUCUGGCUUUUUCUGAGGGAAAAUUCAGUGAUUGCUUCUGCUAUGGCUUCAGGACUCCUCCUCCAUCUCAGCCAAUGCUUUACGUAGGAUGCACUGCCAUGUCCUUGCAGAGAUACGCAUUUUCUUCUCAAGUUUCCUCUCUCUACCCAGUGAAAGUUGUAUGAUGCUCUGGGGCUUCUUAUUCGCAGUUGAUCUUUAGAUGUUUGUUGGAAUGGUUUGGAGGUUAAGAGGAUGUCUACCCUAAAUGCUGACAUUUUCACCAUUCACACGUAAAAACAAGCAACUAAGCCACAUGUCUUUUGAUUUAUUUGCCAGAAAUAAUAGCAGAGAAUUCAGUAUCUCUCUGCAGGAGGAAUACACCAUGGUAUUUAGCCAGGCCCUUCUCUGCAGAGCUCCUCUCCUGCAGGCCAGCCCCUACCAGUUAGAGGCGUGUCCGACCCGCAGCCCAGCUGGCCCUGUGCCCGCCCGCUGCCCCGUGCCAUCAUGGCAGCGGCACUGCCCCGCCCAGUGGCCCAGCCCGGCACCGCAGCACCAGCUGAACACCGGUGUGCUACAAACCUGUGUGGUGCUGGCCCAUGACAUCCGAGGCAGAUGGCGGUGGUGUGGCAGUAGGGGUUGAACCUGCCCACCGAUAUUCCGUUACGUGUUGUUGCCGUGCAACAGAUGGCAGCAGAGGAGCAGUCUGACACAACGGCGUCUGACGUGGAAGUGUGGACGAAGCAGAGGUGUGGUGUGUCACUGAACUCCUCCAUGCAGAAAAUCUGUCACCAUUGACAUUCAUCGAUGCACAAGUGCACACGUGCAGUAACACAUACACACGCGCGCGCGCGCGAGACAGCCUGCGCUGAUCAGGUGCAGAGCACGGCCAGACGAGCGCGGUGACCAGCAGCUUAUGUACAUGCAACUGCCCCCUUUUAUCCAUUUUUCCCUCCUCUCCAACCUCUGGUUCCUCCUUCACGUUGCUUGCGAUCUCAAGAUGCCCUGUUCUACAUCCCAAGCAACGACUGGGGUGGACAGAGUUGGCCAGAGGUGCCUCUAGAGCCUUUCCCCAGCUCCUUGCAGGCUCCCCCAGCUGUGGGGCUGCUCACCUCCUGUGACAGCACAGGGAAGGGCCAGAGUUCCCCAGCCCAUGGGCCUCUGGUUCUUCCACGAAUGGGCAACAGCGGCCUUUCAUCGCAUAACCCAGCACCGCCUCGUCGCUAUGAAGUCCAUACAGGAUUUGGGAAAUGUCACCAACAGCAAGUAACACGGCUGCUGUGGAAGCGGAGGUGAUGUGCAGUGGCGAAAUGUCAGCACCUUCAGCAGUGGCCGUCACCUGCCGCCAGCGCGGCCUGCAGGCACGUACACAUCAGGGGCAAGGACAAGUGAAGCAAAAGAGGAAGGAUGAGAAUGAGAGGGGUGAAAGGGAGCGUGAGCGUCAGGCAGAGGUGAUCUGGAAGGGUGCUGCUAGAGAGGCAGCUGGCCUCAACCUGCUGCUCGGAGAAAGGAGGCCGAGGGUGAAGAAGGCACAGAGAAAUGAGAGGGAGGCAGGCGGGAACAGAACAUGUCAUCUGACGUGGAGAAAGAUGAGCUCUGCAGGGCUAAUUCUUUGCCUGCCGAUACAAGGAAACGGAAACACGCCGUGAAGGAGGAUGCAGAAAAAUAAGUAAGCAGCUGGAUAAAGAAAAACAUAUGAAACGAGCAGAGUCUAAUGUGGAAAUAUAAGCGAGCAGGAGUGAGAGGACCCAUGGCAAACCACCUGGUUAUGCCGAAGGGAAUUCUCCAAGAGUUCGGAGCAAAACAGACCUGUACCUCUAAGUCAAAACUUAGGAAGAACCCGGUGUUCGUGUAGUUCUCUGACUGUGAACUACAAAGUAACCAGUUUUGGCAAGCCAUGUGUUUGGAUGAUAUUCUGCAGGAGACACAACGUAUCCACAGCAGGGGUCUUGGUGUCCCGUGGAAAUGCCCACGCCUGCGCAGCCACAAGCUGUGCUGCGGGACGUCCGCUGCCCUUGCAGACCAGCGCAUGGCGUAACUGGUAUGGAGAAGAGACGGUCUACAGCAGCUAUUAAAAUGAAGACUUGGUGAAAAAAAAUACUCUUUUCACUCCUUAGCCAGGAUUCUGGCAUUCAAAGUUUUUAAUAAAUAAUACAAAUCUUUUA